GCGCUUCGGGAUGGGCUCGCGGCCUAUCAGCUUGUUGGUGGGGUAACGGCCUACCAAGGCUUCGACGGGUAGCUGGUCUGAGAGGACGAUCAGCCACACUGGGACUGAGACACGGCCCAG
rnacentral:rRNA from 1 species